CCUACGGGUGGCAGCAGUGGGGAAUAUUGGUCAAUGGGAGAAAGCCUGAACCAGCCAAGCCGCGUGAGGGAAGAAGGCCCUCUGGGUGGUAAACCUCUUUUGUCGGAGAACACGACCCGGGACGAGUCCCGGACUGCGUGUAUCCGAAGAAAAAGCGUAGGCUAACUCAGUGCCAGCGGCCGCGGUAAGACGGAGGGUGCGAGCGUUAUCCGGAUUUAUUGGGGUGACAGGGUGCGUAGGCGGUCUGUUAAGUCAGCGGUAAAAUUGCGGGGCUAAACCCCGUCGAGCCGUUGAAACUGGCAGACUUGAGUUGGCGAGAAGGACGCGGAAUGCGCGGUGUAGCGGUGAAAGGCAUAGAUAUCGCGCAGAACUCCGAUUGCGAAGGCAGCGUACCGGCGCCAGACUGACGCUGAGGCACGAAAGCGUGGGGAUCGAACAGGAUUAGAUACCCUAGUAGUC
rnacentral:rRNA from 1 species